ACAGUUCAAAGUCACCAAGCCCUGGAGGGAGCUAGAAAUUUAGGAGUCGCUCUCGCUCAGUACCUUUGUAUCGCUCUUGAGUGGCACAACUUUUGGCUUUAUUUGUUGCGGGUCCUGUGGGAGAAGAAUAACCUUCCAUUACUGCAGGAGGCAGGGCCUUAGUCUGUGUUUGCCUUUAGAGAAGGACUAGUGGAACUCACUUCCACCCCAAGAAUGACGAGCCCCCCCACAUUGUCCUGGUUUUUAUCCUUCAGUGCGUCAGCCUGGGCCCAAAGCCCUAGACCUGGGCUGUCAGCUGGGGACCAUGAGGGGAAGUGACCACAGAAGUCUCGGGGGACAAGGGACUGUCUCAGGGAGCUAUGAAUGCUCACCUAUGUAACUGAGCAAGACCGGAAGGAAGAUCAACCCAUGUGUGGCACCCAGCAAGACCAUGGCCAAGUACAUCCUGAAGUAAAAUAUCUGGAAAAUCUGAGAUUUGGCAAAAGCCAACACCACAAUCCCUCCAAAUUUAGUAAGUGUGAUUCCACUGAAGACCUGGAAGACAAGAGUGUUAGAGCUGUGAGCCAUUUGCUGUGAGUGAACGCUUUCUGUAAUCAAGGUACAGAGCGUGCAGUCACCCUGUGGAGUUGGGGAAGUUGCCCUUGUGGCUUUGUGAGGCUGAGGGGAGAAGGCACGAAUAAGGGCCAGAGAGAUGACUGCACAUGUCCUCCAUCAGCAGGUCAACGUGCAGCCUCAGGUGCAGGCGAUGCUAAGUAGAUAAAACUUGCAAAGUUUUAGCUUUUACUCCCAAACAUUUCAGUCUGAAGCGGUAAAGGGACAGACAGGCCACUCCAGGACAGAGUUGAACCAGAACAUUCUGCAGGCAUGAGCUCCACUCUGCACAGGGUUUUGGAACCCAGGAGCAACCCUGCUUUUCAGCACACAGGGGUGACAUGCAGCUCUCUCCAAGUGACCUGCUUGCUGUGGCCACACUGUUCCCCAGGCAGGAGUCAUACACACUGGCGUUUCUCAACAGACCUACAGGUCUGCUGGCCAACAGCCUCGCUGGGGCUAC